rnacentral:rRNA from 1 species
CCACUACUGACGUCGCAGACGGUAUGAGUAUAAUCGUGGGAAUCUGCCUUUUGGUUUGGAAUAACACGCGCGGACACUAUGUGCUAAUACCGAAUAAGACCCUUACGGGGAAAGUUUAUCUGCCGAACAGAUGAGCCUGCACUUGAUUAGCUAGUUGGUAAGGUACAAGCUUACCCAGGCGACGAUCAAUAGCUGUGCUUAGAGGAAGACCAGCCACAUUGGGACUGAGACACGGGCCAGACUCCUACGGGAGGCAGCAGUGGGGAACUCUUGCACACUGGGGGAAACCCUGAUGCCGCGACUGCCGCGUGAGUGACAGACACGGCCCUUGGGUUAGUACACACUCUUUCCUCGGGGAAGAACAUGACUGUACCCGAAUAAGACGGUCCGGCUAACUUCGUGCCAGCAGCCGCGGUAAUACGAAGGGACCUAGCGUAGUUCGGAAUUACUGGGCUUCCAGAGCUCGUACGGUGGUUACAAAAGUUGAUGGUGAAAUCCCAAGGCUCAACCUUGGAACCUGGCAUCCAACACUUAUCAGCUAAGAGUGUGAUAGAGGUAAGUGGAAUCCCUAGUGUAGAGGUGCACUCGUACAUACUAGAAAGCAACACAACUGCGAAGGCCACAAUACUGGGUCCCUACUGACCCUAGAGGAGCGAAAGCAUGGUAACGAAGACGAUAAGAUACCUCCUAGACCAUGCCGACACACUGUUGCAAACGUUG